CCUGGAGACUCCUACGGGAGGCAGCAGUGAGGAAUAUUGGUCAAUGGUCGGAAGACUGAACCAGCCAUGCCGCGUGCAGGAAGAAUGCCUUAUGGGUUGUAAACUGCUUUUAUAUAGGGAGAAUAAGGAGUACGUGUACUCUGAUGACGGUACUAUAUGAAUAAGCAUCGGCUAACUCCGUGCCAGCAGCCGCGGUAAUACGGAGGAUGCGAGCGUUAUUCGGAAUCAUUGGGUUUAAAGGGUCUGUAGGCGGGCUAUUAAGUCAGGGGUGAAAUCUUACAGCUUAACUGUGAAAUUGCCUUUGAUACUGGUAGUCUUGAAUAUUUGUGAAGUUUUUGGAAUGUGUAGUGUAGCGGUGAAAUGCUUAGAUAUUACACAGAACACCGAUUGCGAAGGCAGGAGACUAACAAAUGAUUGACGCUGAGAGACGAGAGCGUGGGGAGCGAACAGGAUUAGAUACCCUUGUAGUCCUAG
rnacentral:rRNA from 1 species